rnacentral:rRNA from 1 species
AUGAACGCUAGCGACAGGCUUAACACAUGCAAGUCGAGGGGCAGCACAGGUAGCAAUACCGGGUGGCGACCGGCGCACGGGUGAGUAACGCGUAUGCAACUUGCCUAUCAGAGGGGGAUAACCCGGCGAAAGUCGGACUAAUACCGCAUGAAGCAGGGAUCCCGCAUGGGAAUAUUUGCUAAAGAUUCAUCGCUGAUAGAUAGGCAUGCGUUCCAUUAGGCAGUUGGCGGGGUAACGGCCCACCAAACCGACGAUGGAUAGGGGUUCUGAGAGGAAGGUCCCCCACAUUGGUACUGAGACACGGACCAAACUCCUACGGGAGGCAGCAGUGAGGAAUAUUGGUCAAUGGCCGAGAGGCUGAACCAGCCAAGUCGCGUGAGGGAUGAAGGUUCUAUGGAUCGUAAACCUCUUUUAUAAGGGAAUAAAGUGCGGGACGUGUCCCGUUUUGUAUGUACCUUAUGAAUAAGGAUCGGCUAACUCCGUGCCAGCAGCCGCGGUAAUACGGAGGAUCCGAGCGUUAUCCGGAUUUAUUGGGUUUAAAGGGUGCGUAGGCGGCCUUUUAAGUCAGCGGUGAAAGUCUGUGGCUCAACCAUAGAAUUGCCGUUGAAACUGGGGGGCUUGAGUAUGUUUGAGGCAGGCGGAAUGCGUGGUGUAGCGGUGAAAUGCAUAGAUAUCACGCAGAACCCCGAUUGCGAAGGCAGCCUGCCAAGCCAUUACUGACGCUGAUGCACGAAAGCGUGGGGAUCAAACAGGAUUAGAUACCCUGGUAGUCCACGCAGUAAACGAUGAUCACUAGCUGUUUGCGAUACACUGUAAGCGGCACAGCGAAAGCGUUAAGUGAUCCACCUGGGGAGUACGCCGGCAACGGUGAAACUCGAAGGAAUUGACGGGGGCCCGCACAAGCGGAGGAACAUGUGGUUUAAUUCGAUGAUACGCGAGGAACCUUACCCGGGUUUGAACGCAUUCGGACCGAGGUGGAAACACCUUUUCUAGCAAUAGCCGUUUGCGAGGUGCUGCAUGGUUGUCGUCAGCUCGUGCCGUGAGGUGUCGGCUUAAGUGCCAUAACGAGCGCAACCCUUGCCACUAGUUACUAACAGGUAAAGCUGAGGACUCUGGUGGGACUGCCAGCGUAAGCUGCGAGGAAGGCGGGGAUGACGUCAAAUCAGCACGGCCCUUACAUCCGGGGCGACACACGUGUUACAAUGGCGUGGACAAAGGGAAGCCACCUGGCGACAGGGAGCGAAUCCCCAAACCACGUCUCAGUUCGGAUCGGAGUCUGCAACCCGACUCCGUGAAGCUGGAUUCGCUAGUAAUCGCGCAUCAGCCAUGGCGCGGUGAAUACGUUCCCGGGCCUUGUACACACCGCCCGUCAAGCCAUGGGAGCCGGGGGUACCUGAAGUCCGUAACCGCGAGGAUCGGCCUAGGGUAAAACUGGUGACUGGGGCU